rnacentral:rRNA from 1 species
UACGUAGGGGGCGAGCGUUGUCCGGAUUUAUUGGGCGUAAAGAGCGUGUAGGCGGCCAAACAGGUCAGCUGUGAAAACUCGAGGCUCAACCUCGAGACGUCGGUUGAAACCGUUUGGCUAGAGUCCGGAAGAGGAGCGUGGAAUUCCCGGUGUAGCGGUGAAAUGCGCAGAUAUCGGGAAGAACACCCGUGGCGAAGGCGGCUCUCUGGGACGGUACUGACGCUGAGACGCGAAAGCGUGGGGAGCGAACAGG